rnacentral:tRNA from 1 species
AAAUAUGAAGCAAUUCUAUGCAUUUAAUUUCGACUUAAAAGAAAGAGUUUCUUACUCCAUAUUUU